CGCACAUUGCGCCCUUUGGUAUUCCUUAGGGCAUGCCUGUUCGAGCGUCAUUUAAUAACCCCUCAAGCACUGCUUGGUGUUGGGCGCAUGUCCCGCCCCCGGCGCGGACUCGCCUCGAAAACAUUGGCGGCCCGUGUGGUGGCUCCGAGCGCAGCACAAUCGCGUCUCCUGCCCCGGCACUGGCGUCCAGCGAGCACGUCAACCAUCUUGACCUCGGAUCAGGUAGGGAUACCCGCUGAACUUAA
rnacentral:misc_RNA from 1 species